rnacentral:rRNA from 1 species
CCUACGGGAGGCAGCAGUAGGGAAUUUUGCGCAAUGGGGGAAACCCUGACGCAGCAACGCCGCGUGAUCGAUGAAGCCCUUCGGGGUGUAAAGAUCUGUCAGUGGGGACGAAACCUGACGGUACCCACAGAGGAAGCACCGGCUAACUCGGUGCCAGCAGCCGCGGUAAUAGGGGGGGUGCACGCGUUGUCCGGAUUCAUUGGGUGUAACGGGUUCGUAGGUGGCACGUUAAGUCGGCUGUUAAAGGCGGAAGCUCAACUUUCGAAGGGCCGUGGAUACUGGGGAGCUUGAAUGCGUUAGAGGUAAAGGGAAUUCCUGGUGUAGCGGUGAAAUGCUUAGAUAUCAGGAGGAACAUCGGUUGCGUAAGCGCUUUCCCGGGCCGUAAUUGACACUGAGGAACGAAAGCCGGGGUAGCAAAUGGGAUUAGAUACCCGAGUAGUC